ACGCUGUGAUUGACAUACGCUCUCCCCUAUGAUUGUGUCUCUCUGAGCUCGGGGGCGGGCUCACGCUGUGAUUGACACCCCCUUCCUCUCCUCACUGUGCCAGCGGCCUAGGAGCUGUGAAAUGGCCGCCGUCCUGCUCAUGUCGAACGGAGUGAGAGAGUGCUGCCCCCCUGGCUCCGAGGAGUCCCGUCCCUCCCUCCCACCGGAGCCCAUGGACGAUGGACGGGAGCAGCCCCGGACCAGACUGGCCUUCAGCCUGCCGCAGGACGGCCCGGUUGCUUUCGACGAAUCUGAUCUAUUGGAGGGCUACGAUCUGGUGGAUUGCAGACGAACAGUUCCAACGCUGAUGGACUUCAUGGUGGCCAUUCCCAACCAGCUGUUGCUAGUCUCGCUCUUGGAACAUCUCUGCUACAUCUACGAGAGAAAUCCUCGCAGGUCCAUGGUCCUGUUCAAAUUGCUGUGUCAGAAGCUUGCAGAAGUGCACCUGAUUUCACCAGUCACCUUCAGCGAUGAGUUCAGCACCGUGAGGCUGCAGCACAAUCAGGCCUUUACAAACCUGCUGCGGGCGGCAAGCAAUGGUUUGUGCGUGCAGGGGCGUGCUGCCAAUGGAGAUGUCCAUCCCCAAAUCUCCAGCAGAAUAAAGGAAACGCUCUUUCAGGGACAGACGUCUCGGUACAUGACUGAAUUUGAAGAAAUCACCAGCCUGGGUAAAGGGAGCUAUGGAAAAGUAUAUAAGGUCAGGAAUAAAUUGGAUGGACAGUUUUAUGCUUUGAAGAAGAUUCUGAUGAAGAAGUUCACAAGAUUUGACUGUAUGAAGGUCUUACGAGAAGUUAAGGUUCUGGCAGGUCUUCAACACCCGCACAUAGUUGGCUAUCACACUGCUUGGAUAGAGCAUGUACAGCCACCAGCUCUGAAAAGUAAUCAGAAGUCUCUCAGUAAUCUAUGUGCAUUGAAGGGCCCCUCUGUUCAGGAAGAUAGCAGAAACUCUACAGUCCAGAACACACAAACCAGUGGCUCAAGUAUAAUUUUUGCAGACACUAGUUCUGCUUUGAGAGUGGGAGAGACUCUGUCAGGGAGCGGACUGGAUGAGGAAGAGAUGAGUGUGGACAAUUUAAAGGAAAGUGGCAAGCAAAUUUCCAUCCACAGUGAAGACUGUGGGGCGAAGCUACCGAGCAACAGUGAAUAUCGACUACUGGGUGUAAAGGACUUCGGCAUGCAUCUUCCUUGCUUUUAUUCCAAGGGUGUGUCCAUGCACAGCAACACAGACCUGAGCUCUGAGCUACAAGUUUCCCAAGAGAGAGGGAGCAAACAGAAGAUGUUAGUUGAAGCACUGGAGACUGAGACACAAGAGCUUGAGAGAGAGAAGGAAAUAGGAACCGGUGGUGUAGAGAUUUCAGGUACCUCUAUAAACGUGAGCAGUAAUUCAUCGUCAGGGAGUGAUACAUCUUUCAUAGACGUAUCUUCUGUCUCCCAGAUCCAUUUCCAUCUUGUGCUUCAUAUACAAAUGCAACUGUGUGAAGGGUCUCUUCAGGAUUGGAUUUUGGAAAGGAAUACCAGACAAAGAGAGAAUCUGGCAUUUACCUGCCCGUUUGCUCUGGUGGAGUUGGAUUGGACCAUUCACAUAUUUCGCCAGCUCCUCGAGGGAGUACGUUUCAUCCACUCCAAGGGUGUCAUGCACAGAGACCUGAAGCCAAGGAACAUCUUUCUCCAUGCCCCUGACUGCCAUGUCCGGAUCGGGGACUUCGGAUUAGCCUGCAGAGACAUCGUUGAGACGUCGGAUUCUUGGCCAGCCAAGAGCACAGGAACCAAUCCAAAACACACCUCGGGAGUUGGAACCUGUCUGUAUGCUUCCCCCGAACAACUAAGAGGCUCUCACUAUGAUUUUAAGUCGGAUAUGUACAGUGUCGGCAUCAUCUUACUGGAGCUCUUUCACCCCUUCGGAACUGUGAUGGAAAGGACAAAGAUAAUCACAGCACUUCGAGAAGGCCACAUCCCGGAAGACUUUGCACAACAGUGGCCAGUACAAGCUAAAUACAUUAAGAUGCUAACCAGCAAAGUUGCCUCCCACAGACCAAGUGCAGAUGAGAUGCUGGCCAGUGAACUCUUCUGUUCUCUCAAGGUCACUCCGCUCCAAGAGAAACUGGAACAGAAACUUGUGAUCCAGGAACAAGAAAUUAGGAGCCUACAACAGAAAGUGAUUGAUCAGGAAGAAGAAAUCAGACACCUGAAGGAACAAGUCAAAUUACUGGCUCGGGAAGGAGAGAGCAGCUAGAGAUCUUCACUAUUUCCCAGAGAAAUUCUCUUACUUUGCAUUCUGUCCACCCAAAUUUACUUGAAUACCUCAUGUAUAAAAAUGGUGUAUGUGCUUUGAAUGAGCUGAGAGGUGUGAAGUAUCAAAAUUAUUAAUUAAUACAUUGAGGCUUUGCACUCAUUAAAAUUCAGUGUUAUCUAUGGCUUAGUGGGUAGAAGGUUGUGUUCAAGUCCCACUUCAGAGAUUUGAGCACAGAGGCCAGUGUCUUAAUGAAUGCCAAGUUACUUUAUGUAAUAGUAAAACUUUGAUUAGACAAUUCAUCCAAGUUAACGUCAGCUGCGGUGCACUUGGCAGCACUCACCUCCCAGUCAGGUUUCGGGUCCAAGCCUCACUCCAGAGACUUGAGCACAAAGUCUCAAUCAAGUUUGUGGACAGUAAUGAGUGUCAAAGGUAUCAUCUUGUAAAGAAAAUGUUGAACCUUUCAACUGGAUUUAAACAAAAAAAAACCUAUGCAACUAUUCUGAAGAGCAGGGGAAAAAUUCCUAUGGCUGUAUUUCAAAUAGUAGGGGAAUCGUUCCCGGUGUCCUGCCCAAUAUUUACCCCUCAAUCACCACUAAAUCAGAUAUCAUCAAUACAAAUUAUUCUUUACCUUUACUUCUUCACACAGCAGAUCAUUGUCCUUGAAGCACAGAAUCUCUUCCUACAAUCUACAUUGCAGGAGGAACCUUAUGUAGAAUAAUUACCGUGUUCCAGAAAGCAUCCUAUCUGGAUGUAUCACGGUUUGGUACGGCAACCGCUCUGCCCAGGACCGCAACAAACUGCAGAGAGUUGUGGACGUAGCCCAACGCAUUACAGACACCAGCCUCCCCUCCUUGGACUCUGUCUUUACCUCUCGCUGUCUUGGUGAAGCAGCCAACAUAAUCAAAGACCCCACCCACCCGGGACAUUCUCUCUUCUCUCCUCUUCCAUCAGGUAGAAGAUACAGGAGCCUGAGGGCACGUACCACCAGUCUUGAGGACAGCUUCUACCCCACUGUGAUAAGACUAUUGAACAGUUCCCUUAUACAAUGAGAUGGACUAUGACCUCACGAUCUACCUUGUUGUGACCUCGCACCUUAUUGCACUGCACUUCCUCUGUAGCUGUGACACUUUACUCCGUACUGUUAUUUUUACCUCUACUACAUCAAUGCACUCUGUACUGACUCAAUGUAACAGCACUAUGAAAUGAAUUGACCUGUACGAUCAGUUUGUAAGACAAGUUUUUCCACUGUACCUCAGUACAAGUGACAAUAAUAAACCAAUACCAUAACAACAACCUCUCACUCAACAUCAGUAAAACUAAAGAAAUGAUUGUUGACUUCAGGAAGGGGAAGGAGGGUGAACAUGCACCAGUCUAUAUUGGUGGAUUGGUAGUUGAGUGGAUCAGCAGCUUUAAAUUCCUGGGCAUCAAGAUAUCAGAUGACCCGUCUUGGGCCCAGCACAUAGAUGCAAUCACUUUCUUAAAAGGUUGAGGAAGUUCAGCACGUCACCAAACACUGUAACAAACUUCUACAGAUGUACUGUUGAAAGUGUCCUGACUGGUUGCAUCAUGGUCUGGUACGGCAAUUCGAAUGUGCAGGAACACAAGAAGCUGCAAAGAGCAGUCGACUCAGCCCAAUACAUCAUAGGCACAUCCCUCCCCACCAUCAAAAGUAUCUACAGGAGGCGCUACCUCAAGAAGGCAACAUCCAUCAAAGAUCCCCACCAUCCAGGCCAUGCCAUCUUCUCGCAGCUACCAUCAGGCAGGAGGUACAGAAGCCUUAAGUCCCACACCACCAGGUUCAGGAACAGCUACUUCCCCUCAACCACAGUUCUUGAACCAACCUGCACAACCCUAAUCACUACCUCAGUUUAGCAACACCAUGACUUUGUUAAUUGUGUUCUUUCUUGUAUAAUUUAUGUUGUUAAUCUACAUUUUUCUUGUGAAUGUUGUGUAUCUGAUGCUGUAACCCUGGAAUGGGUGAGU